rnacentral:rRNA from 1 species
UAGGGAAUCUUCCACAAUGGGCGCAAGCCUGAUGGAGCAACGCCGCGUGAGUGAAGAAGGUCUUCGGAUCGUAAAACUCUGUUGUUAGAGAAGAACACGAGUGAGAGUAACUGUUCAUUCGAUGACGGUAUCUAACCAGCAAGUCACGGCUAACUACGCGCCAG